rnacentral:rRNA from 1 species
GUGGGGUAAUGGCCUACCAAGGCAUCGACGGGUAGCUGGUCUGAGAGGACGAUCAGCCACACUGGGACUGAGACACGGCCCAGACUCCUACGGGAGGCAGCAGUAGGGAAUCUUGCGCAAUGGGCGAAAGCCUGACGCAGCAACGCCGCGUGGGGGAUGACGGCUCUAGGGUUGUAAACCCCUUUCAGCAGGGACGAAAAUGACGGUACCUGCAGAAGAAGCCCCGGCCAACUACGUGCCAGCAGCCGCGGUAACACGUAGGCACCAAGCGUUGUCCGGAUUUAUUGGGCGUAAAGAGCUCGUAGGCGGUUCAGUAAGUCGGGUGUGAAAACUCUGGGCUCAACCCAGAGACGCCACCCGAUACUGCUGUGACUUGAGUACGGUAGGGGAGCGGGGGAUUCCUGGUGUAGCGGUGAAAUGCGCAGAUAUCAGGAGGAACACCAGCGGCGAAGGCGGCGCUCUGGGCCGGUACUGACGCUGAGGAGCGAAAGCAUGGGGAGCAAACAGGAUUAGAUACCCUGGUAGUCCAUGCCGUAAACGUUGGGCACUAGGUAUGGGACCUUAUCAAUGGGUUCCGUGCCGUAGCUAACGCAUUAAGUG